GAUGAACGCUGGCGGCGUGCCUAAUACAUGCAAGUCGAGCGAACGGACGAGAAGCUUGCUUCUCUGAUGUUAGCGGCGGACGGGUGAGUAACACGUGGAUAACCUACCUAUAAGACUGGGAUAACUUCGGGAAACCGGAGCUAAUACCGGAUAAUAUUUGGAACGGCAGGGUUCAAAAGUGAAAGACGGUCUUGCUGUCCCUUAUAGAUGGAUCGGCGCUGCAUUAGCUAGUUGGUAAGGUAACGGCUUACCAAGGCAACGAUGCAUAGCCGACCUGGGAGGGUGAUCGGCCACACUGGAACUGAGACACGGUCCAGACUCCUACGGGAGGCAGCAGUAGGGAAUCUUCCGCAAUGGGCGAAAGCCUGACGGAGCAACGCCGCGUGAGUGAUGAAGGUCUUCGGAUCGUAAAACUCUGUUAUUAGGGAAGAACAUAUGUGUAAGUAACUGUGCACAUCUUGACGGUACCUAAUCAGAAAGCCACGGCUAACUACGUG
rnacentral:rRNA from 1 species